ensembl:lncRNA
GACAGCUGCCAAACACACUGUGUCCCUGGCAACACCUGUUGAGUCAGCCGCGGUGGUGGAGAGUCAGAUGAAGAAAGACAGCUGUACACAUGCCAACAGCAGCAGGAUGCUGUGCUGGGCUUGCGCUCUGCCAGCAGAAGAUGUGCCAAACUCGCUGGCCCAGAUUCAAAUGGCUGGGUGUCGACUCAGUUUGCCAGCAAAUAAGCCCAGGGAAUACAUUUGCAUUAACACCGCUCCCUGUUCCCACCUCCCCAGUCCUUCUCCCGCUCCACAUAGAACACAGUUCCUCUUUCCAGAAUGUCAUCUUCAGCCUGCUUUUCAGAACCUGUAUUUCAGUGGAACAUGAGAAUCUACACCAACCUCCUCAUAAUCCUUCUCAAGGGAAGCCAUGGCCUCAUGGGCCUCAGAAAGCUCUCCUUCCUCCAUGCCCUCACCCAUGUACCAGUGAACAAAGGCAUGCUUGGUAUACAUCAGAUUGUGGUCUAGGUGAGUCCAGGCCUCAGUGGUGGUUGUGGUGUUGCUCAGCGUGCACACAGCUUGCUUUACUUUGGCCAGGUCUCCACCAGGGACCACAGCAGGAGGCUGGUAAUUAAUGCCAACCUUGAAGCCACUGGGGCACCAGUCCACAAACUGGAUGGUACGCUUGGUUUUGAUGGUGGCACUGGCAGCACUGACAUCUUUGGGAACCAUGUCGCCACGGUACAACAGGCAGCAGGCCAUGUAUUUACCACGGCAAGGGUCACAUUUCACCUUCCGGUUGGCUGGUUCAAAGCAAGCAUUGGUGAUCUCUGCUACAGAAAGCUAUUCACGGUGGGCUUUCUCAGCAGAGAUGACAGGGGCGUAUGUGGCCAGAGGGAAGUGGAUGCGGGGAUAGGGCACCAGGUUGGUCUGGAACUCUGUUGGAUCCACAUUCAGGGCUCCUUCACACCUCAGGGAAGCAGUGACGGAGGACACAAUUUGACCUAUCAACCUAUUCAGGUUAAUAUAUGCUGGGCACUCAAUGUCGAGUUUUCUAGGACAGAUGUCAUUGAUGGCCUCAUUGUCUACCACGAAGGCACAAUCAGAGUGCUUCAGGGUGGUGUGGGUGGUGAGGAUGGAGUUGUAGGGCUCAGCUACAGCUGUUCAAAGUUGUGGGGCUGGGUAAAUGGAGAACCCCAGCUUGGACUUCUUGCCAUAAUCGACAGAGACAUUCCAUCAGCAAUGAGGUGACCCAGAACCAGUUCCCCCACCAAAGCUGUGAAAAACCAAGAAGCCCUGAAGACCUGUGCACUGCUCAGCCAGUUUCUGAAUCUGGUCCAAGAUGAGGUCAGUGAUCUCCUCGCCAGUGGUGUGGUGACCUCGGGCACAAUUACUGGCAGCAUCCUCUUUGCCUGUGAUGAGCUGCUCAGGGUGGAAGAGCUGGCAGUAGGUGCCAGUGCACACCUCAUCAAUGAGUGGGGAUUCCAGGUCUACAAACACUGCCCUGGGCACAUGCUUGCCAGUGUCUGUCUCACUGAAGAAGGUGUCGAAGGAGUCAUCUCCUCCCCCAGUAGUCUUGUCACUUGGCAUCUGGCCAUCGGGCUGAAGGCCAUGUUCCAGGCAGUAGAGCUCCCAGCAGGCAUUGCCUGUCUGAACACCAACCUGGCCAAAGUGGAUGGAGAUGCACUCACACAUAGCUGCUGUUCUGUGGCUGCCGAGCAGUUGGCAUUGGCGGAGAGGAGAAGAGAUUGUUACUUGUUACAGCGCUACUCUUAGGUGGUCGAUGUAAGAGAAUCUGUGGCACAUGGGCGUCUGCAGCUUCUUAUAUACAACUCAGUCCGAAUGCUGAGUUUUUGAAUUUUGAGAAUAUCUCUGCAACUGGACCAUACAUUCCAUGAGGGCAGGGACUUCUUCAAUGUCCUCAAAGAAUGAGGAGUCCAGUCUUCUGUACCAGAUGAUCUGUGUACUAUGCAGCAAAUGUGUGUUUAUUACUACCUGGUACCCUCUUCUUCUUAAUCUGUGAACACUCUCCAACUUACUCAAUUGGUUUACACUCAGGGAAAACAAACUGAUUUGCUAGUCUGAAUAAACAACAUUCAAUAGGAAGGUAAAUCCA